UCCGUUAUGGUGUAUCGGCUAGCAUCCGUCGCUUUCAUGAGCAUUAACCGCGAAUGAUGGCUUCCGACGAGAGCCGGGUUCGACUCCCGGUAACGGAA